rnacentral:rRNA from 1 species
GAUGAACGCUAGCGGCAGGCUUAAUACAUGCAAGUCGUGGGGCAGCGCAGAGUAGCAAUACUUGGGCGGCGACCGGCAAACGGGUGCGGAACACGUACACAACCUUCCUACAAGUGGGGGAUAGCCCAGAGAAAUUUGGAUUAAUACCCCGUAACAUAACGAUGUGGCAUCACAUUGUUAUUAUAGCUUCGGCGCUUGUUGAUGGGUGUGCGGCUGAUUAGAUAGUUGGCGGGGUAACGGCCCACCAAGUCUACGAUCAGUAGCUGAUGUGAGAGCAUGAUCAGCCACACGGGCACUGAGACACGGGCCCGACUCCUACGGGAGGCAGCAGUAAGGAAUAUUGGUCAAUGGACGCAAGUCUGAACCAGCCAUGCCGCGUGAAGGAUUAAGGUCCUCUGGAUUGUAAACUUCUUUUAUCUGGGACGAAAAAAGGCGAUUCUUCGUCACUUGACGGUACCAGAUGAAUAAGCACCGGCUAACUCCGUGCCAGCCGCCGCGGUAAAAC